GGCAGUGGUACCUCAGUGGUUAAGGUGUUGGUCUACUAUGCAGAAGGUAUGAGGUCAAAUCCCAGUACUGCCA